GGUCCAGUCCGGGCCGUCGUGCACUGGUACGCUGUGUUGGACAAGCGAGUUUGUCUAGUUACUGUUGUUGCUGUUGUUGCUGGUGCUGUUGUUGGUUGAGUGUUAAUUUGUUCGUUGACUUCAUGGUUUUUAAUGCACGCAAUCGCCGCGGAGUUUCCGUUUUUAGUCGCAGUUACCAGCCGGAAGGCGUUGAAAAUAUCGCGUUUUAAUGUGUUUACCGCACAUACAUGCGCACAUACAUACUCAUACCCACACAUUGAAUACCAGUUAACGCUGGUUUCAGAGAGCAACAGAGACAGAUUGAGAGAGGGAGGGAGAAAGUAGUAGUUGAAACUGAAAUUCGAGAUGAAAUCGAUGGAUGAAUAGAAGAAUGAGAGAAUGAAAUUUAAAAAAUUACUCAACAACUAAAGACAACUCCAACUACAGGGAAACAUUAUGGAGGAAAAAAAUUGUAAUAAUUUAUACAACUAUUUAAUUAACAUUUUAACAAAAAAUAUAGCGCAUAAUUCAAAACACACAAUGGCAGCUUAAUGAAUAAAAGUGCGCUUUCAGUUUUUUAUAGCCCUGCAAUAUUAUUGAUGUACCCACAUACGUACUUAUGCAUAAGCUUAUGUAAAUAUACGCAACGAAACCACUAACACAGAGUUUCUACUUCCUCGAGCAUUUCCGCAAUUUCCAUUCGGUCUAACAAUGUAAUUAGUCUGACUGGCUUGGCUGGCAGGCUGACGGCUGCCGGUUUACAUUUAAUUCAAAUAUUUUAAUACAACAGAGCAACAGUGGAGAUUUU